GCGGGCUUGAGGCGGGCAGGCUGCUUAGUUGCGGCCCGAGGCGCCUAAGUGGGGAUGACCAACCCGUGGGCGUUGGCGCUGACCCCUAGGCGCCGCUGGUGGCCCCGCGCGCGGCCCUCCGGCCAGCCCCGCCCCUCUCGGGGCUCCUCCUUGGUCCCCGCGCCAUGGCGCGUCCGCGUUGACCGCUGUCUUCCCUUUCGGGCUGUGCUGAUCGCGAACGCUGCGCAGUCCGUGGUGGCGUCGAGGCACCUUUCUCGUGCCUUUACCUGUGUUCACUCCUUUGCUUUAAAAAACAGCCCUAGAAGUACACAUCGUUGGCCCCGAAGGAGCCCCAGCAGCCAUGUCGGACCGCGAGGUGACCUUGGAGGGCGGGAGGACGGACGAGGGGCCUGGCGGAGCUAGACUGAGAGGGCGCCGCCGGCGUCCUGAAGGCCCUGCUCCCCGAAUGUGUGGGAGUGUGUCUGACGGUGCGAGGGUGGCUGUGGCGGGGCCUGAGCAGCGUGUCCGUGUCCCGAUGCCGCCCGCCUGUUACUGAGUUAGGCAGGAGUGCCCGAGUCUGGCGAACUUCAGCAGUUCUCGUUCCAGAGCUCCACACGAGUGUCUGAGGCCUCAGCUGGAGCAGUUCAGAGGCUAGAGGUUGGAAUGAGUGAAGGUUCAUCUGCUCGAAUGUCUGACAGCUGAUACUGGAGAUUGGCUGCAGCCCAGAUUGGGGAUGUCAGCCAGCACACCCCUACACGGCCGGUCCCUGUGGCCGAGGCUUUCUCACAAUAUGAUGGCUGGAUUCCAAGGGCAAUCUAAAGACAAAGGACAAAAGAAAGCUGUAUCCUUUUUGUGAACCAGCCUCAGAAGUUGCAUACCAUCACUUCGGCUACUUCCUAUUUGGAAGAAAUGAGUCACUAAAUUACCCAUAUUCAAAAGGAGAGGAAUUAGGCUUCAUCUUCUAAAGGGAAGAAUAUCAAAAAAUUUGCCAGUAUAUUUUUAAAACACCACACUUGGAAAAAGCCAUGGGCCAUGGUAAGCAAAAUUGAAAUGGCAAAAUUGCUAUGGCAGACAGUGGUGGAAGGGAGUAAAAGGUUCAGGGGUGUGGGCAUGUUGAAAUUUAUAUACUCCGUGCAUCUAGAAGACAUUUGAGACGAUCAUAUUCCACAUGAAGGUGUAAAUAACACGUCAUUUAUAAAGAUCAUUAGACAUAGGAUGAUGAAAGGGGCACUGAUGUCACUAAAAUAUUCAGUGAUGGCUCAUCUCUGUAGGCAAGAAUGACAAUAGAAAGGCUGUUCCAGAACUUGGCUGGGUGAUAGCACUGGGGAUGAUAGGAUCCUAAGACAAAAGAGGCCAUUCUGGGACAUAGUGGGGACCAAAGAAAAAAACCCAAGAAGCCAAAGGCAACACUUAGCUGGCAGAAGUCAGAGGAUUGCAAUUAUAGCAGCCAGCAGGGUCUGAGUGGCAGCCAAGGGGACCUCACUUGUAUGGUUAUAGAACUGGUCAAUAAACAUGGCAUCCCUGGAGGCAAAACAGGUGGGCAGCUAAGA
rnacentral:lncRNA from 1 species